UUUAACUGGGAGGCAGAGGCUGCAGUGAGCUGAGAUUACACCAUGGCACUCCAGCCUGGCAACAGAACAAGACUCCGUCUCAAAAAUAAAAGGACCCUGCUGCUUCCUUUGCGUCAAUAUCUUCCCCUUCUAGGAGCCAUCUUUUUAGAUUGAAGUCUCCUGAUCAAUGUAGUAGUUUGUUGUUUAAUAAUAGAACUGCAUCCCCAUUAUCCUCAUCCCCUAGACUCCCUAGGGCCAUUAUGGUCUCUUGCUUUCUGGCAAGAGACCUGCCCUAUUGCUUGGGUGGCGGGGUAGGGGGUGGUGCUCAGGGUCUGCCUAUCACUCCCCCUCCCUUAAGCUAUGGGUAUCCCUAUGGAGAUCAAGGUAUCCAUAGCCUGGGGAGAUGCCUCUUGGGCAGCAGGUCUUGAGCUCCCCCUGUGGGAAAAGCAGAUUCCCAGGCUGAUCGAGAAGGGCCCCUCUACAAAUCAAUGCAGAUGAUACAGGGAACAAUGCCUGCAGAUGAGUUCUUUCCUAAGCUUCCCAGGUUUUAGUUUGGAAACUAUUGUCUGGGUCCAGGUGGGAGCCAUCUCCUUCCCUCCUCUGGCUAUGCCCUGGAUCCCCCCUCUUCUGCCUCCCUCCAUUUUUGCUCUUCUCAUUUUUUAACGUGUGCUCUGGAAAAAUGCUAUACUUGUCUCAUCCACACUGCAGUGUAAAUAUAUUCAUUCAAGGAGUGUUUAUUGAACUUGUCUUCCACACCCUGGCUAAAUCCUAGGGACACAGAUGCUCUAGAAUGUAAGAACCAUGCAGUACAGUUCUCCUUGGACUGACCUAGUUCUUCCUCCUUUCUCACUUGUAGUUCUCAAGAAUAACUGGUGCGUGCUGGAAGCAUAACAUCCUGAGACAAGGAAGAACUGGCCAGAAUAUCCUGGGCUCCACUCUUGUCCCUCCUAGAACAAGAUGUCCUUCAAUACUUUAGCCCAGUGUAUCAUGUUGUCCCCAGGGUAUAAAACCCAGGUGGACUGCUUUCCUGGCCCUUCAGCUGUGGGGCAAGUGAGGCACAUGAAGACAAGAUUCCAUCCACUCAGGGCAGCUUUUCUAAGCCUUGGAACUGACUUGCUAUGUAUUCUAGGCUUUCACUCUUUCUUGCUGUGUGUGAGUAAAAACGUUGCUUCACUUAACUUGCAGUGAGUGUUCUAUCUCACUGGACUCAAGCAAGUAGUAGAAAUUGCAGCCCAAGAUGCAGUGGGCUAAAUGAUGCAGUGGGCUCACCUGUGCAUCGUGAGCCUGCUCCGCAGCCCACACAGGCAGAGAUAUUCAUCUGUUUUGUUCCCUGGUGACUCCUAAGGGCCUAGAUCAGUGCCAGCCAUAUAGAAGGUGAUCUAUAAGUAUCUGUUAAAUGAAAAGACAGAAAAGAACUAUGGGACACAGAAAAACAAACAGCUUAACAUCACGAGGGAGCCACAACUAUCUGGGCUGGUGGCAUGGGGGUAACGCGAUUUAGCCAGACAGUUGUAGAUAAAGAAAGUCAGAUUUCUUAGACAAAGUAGGAACAUGCUUUGUAGCAAUGAGGCAAGGGCAGACUCAGCAGAAGAGGAGUGGCUUGCCAGCAAACAAAGGCUUGCUGGGGAUUUUGUAGAAGAGUGUUUAUGCUGUGUGCUGAAGAGGGCUUUGUGCAGCGUUGAGGAGGCCAAGGCUGCAGUGGGAGAACUUGCAGGUCUCUGGUGGCAAGUUGGGUGCAGGAGGGCUGCAUGUCCUGGACCAGGAAGAAAGGCAGACUUGCAGUUUAUCUGCUUUCCCUUUCCUUCUUUCUCCUGCUCCCACCAGCCUGACCUCAGGAAAAGCCUUUGUUUGCUGGCAGUCCACUCCUCUUCUGCUGAUUCUGCCCAUUGCCUCAUCACAAGAAAGUCUUUUCCUACUUUCUCUAGUAAAUCUGCCUUUCUUUAUCUACAACUGUCUUGGUACAUUUUUUUUACCCCCACGCCACCAGCCCAGAUAGUUGUCGUGCUUGAGACAGUGAGCUGUUUGUAUAUCUGUAUCCCAUAGUUCUUUUUUUCCUAAUUAGGACUCCACACUAACUGCCGCACUGUGGCAAAUACACAGAUGUUGUAAGGAUUGGGGAUGACAGAAUUCCGGCUGCCUAGUAGGCGCUUGUUAGAAAGGGCUUCACGAACAGGAGAUGAUUAGGUUGAAUCUUAACAAAUGAGUCGGAGUGGAGCUGGGCACAGUGCCAUGCACCUGCAGUCCUAGGUACUUGAGAGGCUGGGAUGGGAGGAUAACUUGAGCCCAGGAGUUUGAAUCCAGCCUUGGCAACAUAGUGAGACCCUGUCUCUUAAAAUAGUGAGUCAGAAUGACUUGUGAGAAGUCUGAAGUGAAGGGGAAGAGCAUUCCUUAUUGAGGACCAUAUAAGCAAAGGCCCACUAGUGAGCAAUUGAUAGGGUUUGGAAGCUAAGGAAGAGGGAGGGGUCAAAAUUGACUUCCAGAUUUUUGAUUUAGGCAAUUGAGUUGAUGUUGGUUCCAUUCACUGAACCAAUACGAACUUAGGCUUCUUUCAACAAAGGACAUGUUUGUUUUCCUCAAUUCUGAAAGGUGAGUAGGCGUUAGACAGAUGGGGGUAGAGUAGGCAUAUGAGAAUGUUCUAGGCCAGGGGUUGGGAAAGUUUUUCUACAAUGGGCCAGAUAGCAAAUCUUUUCAAUCUGUGGACCUGUGAUCUCUGUGACUGUUAUAGUACCAAGCAACUAUAGAUAACAUAGACGUGAAUGGGCAUGGCUGGAUUCCAGUAAAACUUUACUUACAGAAACAAAUGGCAGGCAGGAUUGGCGGAAUUGUCCUGUGGGCCAUAGUUUGCCAGCUACUAUUUUAGGCCAGGGGGGCAGGAGGUACAAAGGCCCUGAGAUGGGAAGGAAUGAGCUAUAUUUAGGGAACUGAUUCAUGGCCAGUGUGGCUGGAGUUAUUAACCAAAGAAAGGGGUUAGCAGCUCAGAAGAAGUAUGGAGUUGAGGGCAGGCAAUAGAUAACUUACAGGCUUGUAACCCAUGUUAAGGGUUUUGUAUUUUGCCUUAGUGGGAAGUCACUGAGUAAUUUAAACACUUUUAAUUUAGCUAUAAACAUAUACAGAAAAUGUGCAUAUUAUAAGUGCAUAGUUAGUUGAAUUUCCGCAAACUGAAUAUCCACAUAAACAGCAUGCAGACCAAGAAACAGAGCAUUAUCAGAAGCCAAGAAGUAUUCACCUUGCACCCCCAGCCAGUCCACACCCCUCCAGUCAGCACCAUUUGGACCUUCUAUAACAUGUAUUUGUUUGCCUGGGUUUCUAUUUUAUGCAUAUGGAAUCAUCUGUUAUCUGGCUUCUUUCACUCAAAGUAAUGUCUGUGAAAUCUGUCUAUAGUAGUUGUAGAUUGUCCAUUCUCACCAUGUGAAUACACAAUUGGGUUGUGGAUGAGCAUUUGGGAUGUUUUCAGUUGUGGGCUGUUAUGAAUUGUGCUGCUCUGAAUAUUUAUGACCAUGUCUUGAUAAAUAUGCAUUUCUGUUGGAUGAACAUGCUUAAUGGUUUAAUUGCAGGGUCACAGGAUGGUUGUAUGUACAGCUUUAGCAGAUAUUAUAGAAUCAUUUUCCAAAAUGAUGAUACCAUUUUACAUUCUCACAAACAAGGCAUGAGAGUUCCUAUCUCUUCUCAUACUCACCUCCACUUGAUGUUUUGCACUGAAUAUUUUUUUAGCUAUUCUGGUUGUUUUGUAGAGAUAUAUCACUGUGGUUUUAAUUUUCAUUUUCCUAAUAAGUGAACAGGGAGCAUAUUUUCAAAAUUUUAUUGGCCAUUGUAGACUUUUCCAAGAGCAUGAAAUGAUCAUAUUUGCAUUCUAAGUAAUCCUCUCUGGCUUUUGGUGUGGAAUAUCUAUCUGUGGGUAUAGCAGGAAUCCAAACAGGGAUUUAUUUGAGUUAGGAGAUCAUGGCAAUAUUGAGGCCGAAUGUGAGAAUAGCUUGGACUAGGGCAGUGGUAGUUGAGUUGGAAAGAUGUGGAUGAAUUUGAAAGCCAUUUCUGAGGUAAAAUUGAAAGGACCUGGUGGUGGAUUAGAUGCAGGAACUGAGAGACAGGAAGGUAUACAAAUUGUGGCUGUAAGAGUUCUGGUUAACGCAUCAUUUCUGAGUUUUAGGUUUGAGAUCAUUGCAUAUAUUUUCUUUAGGAUUUUUUGGUUACUUUCAAAAGACUGGAGAAGAAAAUUUCAAUGGAAAAAAGGAACACAUCUAAUAUGAUGUAAAGAUAACCAAAUUUCAUCUGAUGACAUUUGCUUGGACUUUAACCAGUAUUGUUCAUCUGAGGGCUGAAGAUGUGUCUCUUGAAGUCUCAAAUUCCCACUCAACUUCUCAUAACCAUUAGGACUGAUUUAGCUGAAUAAUAUUGGGUAAGUGACUUAACCACUUGGAGUGUCUGAUUUUUUAAAAACAUGUAAAAUGGUGAUAAUAACAUCCCUGCCUUCCACACUUGUUUUGAGGAUGAAAUGAGCUAAGAUCUGAGAACUUGCUCUGUGAAGGACUCCUUGAAUGAGAAUCAUGACUGAGGCUGGCUUUACCUUCAGAUCAUUAUGAACUUCAGAUCAUUAUGAAAUUUGGUAAAUUAUGUGAAAACUCUUUAGCCUUAAAUGAAAUUUCUUGCUCCCAUGCUUUGCAUUCUAGUGCCAUUGUUUUAGGUUCCAGGCAUCACAUUUAGAAAUUUAUCUGUAGCCUUUAAGUCAGUAACCUAGGUAUGAACUUUAAUCUGAUUUGCUUAUUUUUCUCUGCAUUUAGAUAGGAAAUUCUACUGAUGCUGGUAAAGAGUAGGCUCACAAAUAAAAUCUCUGGUUUCUUGUGAACAGUUUCCUUAAGUCUAGGCUCACAACAAAAUAAGAAGGAACCAAGUAAGCAGUAUUUUCAUAUACAACAACAACAAUAACAACAACAACAACAAAAGGAUAUAUACUUUGAUUAAAAAAAAAACAAGCAUUACAUACUUACAUAUUCAAAGAAAAAAACAUUUAAACAGUGAGAUUCAAAGAUGUGUUAUUUCCAUGUCUAUGGAAACUAGUUACUGAGACGGAUUAAGUAUAUGCAUGGUUUAUAAUGUUUACAUUCUCUUUUGCAAUUAUUCUAUAGAGUCUACAUUUUGGAUGGUUAUCUAGCCUUGGCUUUGUAUUGAAGUGGUUUAAAUGUUUUCCAUCAGUCUUGUUUAUCACAAGUUUUUCAUUCAUCUCCUAUUGUUGGAUUUCUUACUGUGUAGCUUCACCAAGAAGGGCUCACAGAUACUAUUAAUAUAUUUCUUGAGAUCCUGCAUAUUUGAAAAUGUCAUUGCCUAUAUCCUUAAAUGUGGUUUGAACUGAACAUUGCCAAGUGGUCAUGUCUUCUUUCUCUGAAGACUUUGGAAGUUUUGUUCCACUUUCUCCAGCUUUGAAUAUUGCAGUGGGAAGGUAUUAGGCCCAUCUGAUUUGUUUCCCUUUAUUAUGAGUCAUUUAAUAUUCUUUCAUAUGUCCAUUCUUUCUUUACCUUUCAGGUCUAGUAACUUUACCAAGAUAUGGCUCAGUGUUAGACUUUCUGAAGUUUUUCAAUCUGAAGAGUAAAGGUUUUUAAAAUAUAGGAACAUUUUCUUCUAUUAUAUCUCCGGAUAUUAUCUUGUUGCUUCAUUUGCUCAGUUCACUUCAGAGAUGUAAAUAAUUUUCAUUAUGGAUUUCCUAUGCAUAGCUUUUAUUAUUUAUAGUUUAUCUUGUACCCCUUAACAUUUUUUGGUUCAACUUUCUUUCUCAAGUCUGUCAGAAUUCUACAUGCUUAACUGACACAAGAACAGAAAACCAAAUACCACAUGUUCUUGCUCAUAGGCGGGUGUUGAACAAUGUGAACACAUGAGCACAGGGAGGGGAGCAUCACACUCUGGGGUCUGCUGGGGGGGGUGCUAAGGGAUGGACAGCUGGGGAUGAGGAGGUUGGGGGGGGAUAACAUGGGGAAAAAUGCCAGAUACAGGUGAUGGGGGGAUAAAGGCAGCAAACUACCUUGCCAUGUAUGUACCUAUGCAACAGUCCUGCAAGAUCUGCACACGUACCCCAGAACCUAUAGUACAAUUAAAAAGAAUAAUAAAAUAAAAAUUUGUACAAUGUAUAACCCUGAAAAAAAAGAAUUCUACAUGCUUAACUAUGUUUCCAUUAAUGUCUGUUCCUGGUUUUGCUUCUUCUAAUAUGGCUUUUAUUUUUAUAAAAAAUUUAGUUUCCACUUUCAUGUAUCUCCUGAGUUCUGUCAGCUGCUCUUUUACUUCUUUCUAUUGUAUCAUCAUGUCUUCCCUGAGCAUUUGCUUUAGAAAAUCCAUAGAUUCUUCAAUUUGGUUGAUAUGAUGGACAAUAAUUUGUUGAAAAUUUCACCGUAAUUCAUGGUGAGCUUCUGAUGUGUAUUCUUUAUCUGCUGCAUCUUCUUUUUCUCUUAUAUUACCUAGGCUAGGUCCCAAAGUGGUUUGCUUCUCAUUAUUUCUUAUCUAUGAAUGCAGACUGUUCUUUUCUGAUUUCUGUCUGUUAGCGAAGAGCAAGGCUAAGAGACUGGAGAAGUGAACUAAAACUGCAUGCACCUUAGAUUGAAGAUAUUGCCUUAGAACUUUUUUUUUUCCCCCACAAUGACCUAAGGAAAUACUUCCACCAGGGCUGAGCAGUGGGCCUGCCUGGCUCAUUUAGAAACUCAUGUAUAGAGAUUUAGCACUUGCCUUCAAUUUUAGCUGUUGAAUAUAAGCACUUGCAGAGCUAAUUCUUACCGUGUCACAUUGACCCCAAAGAGCCUAUGAAGAUAAUGGUCUGUGACCCUUUUUUUCAGCUCCCUUUCUCCCCAGCUGCUUCAUGGAGAGUAGAGCUCAGGGAUGUUCCCGGCCCCCUCUGCGCUGGGCAAAGGCAUAAUGGUUUAGUUUUUCAGACCAUUUCCCCAUUUUCUGCUAUGAGCCUGCAAUGACACAAGUCAUUUUCCAGUAUCUCCCUUUGAUUUGGUUCAGAUUUCAUUGCACUUGGCAGCUGAUCUUUCUAGAUUGAGGAUUUGGAUAUUUAUUGUUUCCUAGUUUUACCAAAGGCAGAGUUAUUUUACUUACUAUGGUUUCGUAUUUUUUUUUUUUUUUUUUUUUUUUUGGCUUCAGAAGAGAGAGUGGGAUAGAAAAGCUUAAUUUUGCCAAAUUUAAAUGAAAGUCAAAAAUACAUAUUUCUUUCUUCUAAAGAGACCCAGUUUUGCAUACAAAUUCCCUGUGGCAAAGAGAAAUGGUAAAGUGACAUCUAAACCACUAAACCACUGCUGUGUGCCCUAUACAUAUUGAUGAAUACUACUAGCUCACCUCUAGCAGUGUGGAACAUAUGAUGUCUUAGUGUGUUUACAAAAAGAUCCUCCGUCUAAGAAGGUGAAUUAGAGGAAGGUACUGAGCAGAUGCAGCCCAAGAGCUUAUAACUGGGUCAGCUCAUUAAACAUUUAUGCGUGGGAAAUAAUAAUUUUCUUUGGUUGGAGAUGGCUCUGACUCGGAGUUCGUGGUUUGGCAAGGGGUAUGUUGGCUGGAUAUCAGCUUCCUUUUAGUUCUCUAGGAAGACCAAUGGAUCUCAAGCCAGACAAUUAAAAAGAAAUUCAUACCUAGACCCAUCAUAGCGAAACUACUGGACAUUGAAGAAAAAUAGGUCUUAUAGUCAGAGAAAGAAAGCAAAUUAUCUUAAAAUAAUGACAAUUAGUAUGACUGCUGACUUUUCAGUAGCAACAAUGAAGCCAGAAGACACCAGCAAGACAUACUAGUAUCUUUGUAUUCAAUAUACUGAGUGAGAAAACCUAAAAUUUUACUCAGUGAAACUAUUAUUCAAGAAUGAGGAAAAAAUAUGACACUUUUGAAAAACAAAAGCAGAUGACUUUGUUACUAAAAGAUAUUUGCUGAAGGAAAUCCUAAAGGAUGUACUUCAGAAAGAGGGUUAAAAACAAGAACAAAAACAAAAGAAAGAAGGUCUGUAACCCCCAACAAAGGUAAACAAAGAUAUCUAUCUAUCUGUCUAUCAAUCAUCUAUCUAUCUAAAUGUGACAGUGUAAAACAAUAAUGUUGACUAAAUCAUGGGGACCAUCAGCUAUAACUAAAAUACUGGAACACAAUGUAAGCCAAAAGCGGGUGAUCAGCGUUAAAGCAAUCUAAAUUCUUUAUAUUAAUUAGGAGAAAGGUAAAGUAUUGAUUAAGUUUAGGCUGUUAAAAAUGAAUGCAUAUUUAAGUUAUAAGGAUAACUUGAAUAUACUAAAGUAUAAACUUUAAGAGUAAGUAUAGAGCACGUAACUCACAAACAAGUACAGAGAAAAUGGAAUAAGAAAAA